rnacentral:rRNA from 1 species
GGGCCUAAUCCUCUUCAUCCAAUUUCGGUGAGGGAGGACCAGCAGGUCCUGGGAUACCUGCUCCAAAACCUCUCAAAGGAGGUGCUCGUCACGGUGACCGCGAUCACCACGGCGAGGGAACUCUGGGUGGCGCUGGCGAGCAUGUUCUCG